rnacentral:rRNA from 1 species
CCUACGGGGGGCAGCAGUGGGGAAUAUUGGGCAAUGGACGCAAGUCUGACCCAGCAACGCCGCGUGAAGGAAGACGGCUUUCUGGUUUGUAACUUCCUUUAAGGGGGAAGAGCAGAAGACGGUACCCCUUGAAUAAGCCACGGCUAACUACGUGCCAGCAGCCGCGGGAAUACGUAGGUGGCAAGCGUUUUCCGGAUUUACUGGGUGUAAAGGGCGUGCAGCCGGAGAGACAAGUCAGAUGUGAAAUUCACGGGCUCAACCCGUGAACUGCAUUUGAAACUGUCUCUCUUGAGUGUCGGAGAGGUAAUCGGAAUUCCUGGUGUAGCGGUGAAAUGCGUAGAUAUAAGGAAGAACACCAGUGGCGAAGGCGGAUUACUGGACGAUAACUGACGGUGAGGCGCGAAAGCGUGGGGAGCAAACAGGAUUAGAUACCCUUGUAGUC